GACCCAAUGGCCAACGGUGGCGCCUCCACCGUCUUGAUCACUGACAAAAGCGGGAGGUCCUGGUUCGAUUCCGGGUUGGGUCA